CCAGACUCCUACGGGAGGCAGCAGUGGGGAAUAUUGGACAAUGGGGGGAACCCUGAUCCAGCGACGCCGCGUGAGUGAAGAAGUAUUUAGGUAUGUAAAGCUCUAUCAGCAGGGAAGAAAGAAAUGACGGUACCUGACUAAGAAGCCCCGGCUAACUACGUGCCAGCAGCCGCGGUAAUACGUAGGGGGCAAGCGUUAUCCGGAUUUACUGGGUGUAAAGGGAGCGUAGACGGCAGCGCAAGUCUGAAGUGAAAUCCCAUGGCUUAACCAUGGAACUGCUUUGGAAACUGUGCAGCUGGAGUGCAGGAGAGGUAAGCGGAAUUCCUAGUGUAGCGGUGAAAUGCGUAGAUAUUAGGAGGAACACCAGUGGCG
rnacentral:rRNA from 1 species